UUUCUUUUUCAUUUGUUACGUUAUUCAAAAACUACGCUUACAAAAAUAAGAAAUAUGUCGAAAUCAAAAUUCGUAAAAGAAAAUCAAAACUUUUAAAGUAGAUUUUCAUUAUCAUGAAACCUCUUCACUAUAGUUGAGUGCAUGAAUUCCAAACACAUGGAAUAAAGAAACGAAAAAGAAAAAACAAUACCGUGGCUUUAAAACAUUCCUAGAAUAGUAAUAUAUAUAUAUAGCUAUAGCAACUGUUAGCUUUCAUAUCCUACUCCACGGCGUGUCACGGCGGAAUCCGAUGGCGGAGGAGCGGGUUUUGGAUGGACUUUCUUGAAUAUAUUCCUGGAAAAGAAACCACCCGAAGAAAAAGAGGAGGAGGAGGAGGAGGAGGAGGAGGUUUUAGGAUCAUUAUGUUGCUUUUUGGUAUCAUUAGUUUCCUGUUCUGUCUUCAUCUACUCCUUGUAUUGUUUUCUCGUCACAUAAGCUUCCGCAAGAUAAGCACUAGGAGUCGCCAUGCUAAAGCUCAAGUGAAGGCCAAAAAAUUGGAGAAAGUAUUGAAUUUCGGCAAAGGAAUUUGGAUAUGGAAUAUGAAGAGAAUAAUGGUAUUUAUAGGAUUUUCAUAGGCUUGGGGGAUACACAAAACAACAACAAAAACAACCCAGUAUAAACCCACUUAGUGGGGUCUGGGAAGGGUAGCAUGUACAUAAACCUUACCCCUACCCUGAGGUAGAGAGGUUUUUUUCAAAUAAUCCCCCGACAUCCUCCCCUCCAAAAACUUCCCACCUUACUCUUGG
rnacentral:lncRNA from 1 species